UCCUAAGUAGCUCAAUGGUAGAGCAGAGAUUAUUUGAUCAUCUGUUAGUGGUUCGAUUCCACUCUUAGGAG
rnacentral:tRNA from 1 species